UCAUGAUAUCUUCACAAACAGUUAAAUAAAUUUUUCUUUAUUCAAUAAUCAAAUCUUGGUUCAAAUAACAAAUCAAAACUAAGUGUUCAAAAGAAAGUAACUGUCUGACAAAGCCAAUACUAAAAACAAAACUAAAGGUCUUGAAUCAAUUCUAAGAAAAAUUCUAAAUCAAUAAGUUAACUCCAUCUCUAAUCGCUCUCCCAAUCGAAAACCCGCAUCAUGCUAAUUUUCCGGAUCUGUAAGAAAAACAUAAAACUUAUCAUGAGCUAAAUAGCCCAGUAAGCAGUGUAUACCUUUAACUGAAUAAUCAGGCAAAUAAUACUAUGCAUAACAAAUCAAUAUGUAAUUUCAUGAAAUCAUAUUCAUAUUGUCAAUCAUAUAUAAAAGUCAAUUCAUCAUAAUUUCUAAUUAUGCUUUUCUUCUUAAAUUCAUCAAUUUCUUAAAUUCUUCUUUCCAANN
rnacentral:lncRNA from 1 species